UUGCAGAGUGGGAAUGAAGUUCUCCCCUGGUAGACAAUACCUAAACUGCUUAUAAAGCUAAUGACUUCUGUUUAAAU
rnacentral:ncRNA from 2 species